GACGAACGCUGGCGGCGUGCUUAACACAUGCAAGUCGAACGGAAAGGCCCUGCUUUUGUGGGGUGCUCGAGUGGCGAACGGGUGAGUAACACGUGAGUAACCUGCCCUUGACUUUGGGAUAACUUCAGGAAACUGGGGCUAAUACCGGAUAGGAGCUCCUGCUGCAUGGUGGGGGUUGGAAAGUUUCGGCGGUUGGGGAUGGACUCGCGGCUUAUCAGCUUGUUGGUGGGGUAGUGGCUUACCAAGGCUUUGACGGGUAGCCGGCCUGAGAGGGUGACCGGCCACAUUGGGACUGAGAUACGGCGCAGACGCCUACGGGAGGCAGCAGUGGGGAAUAUUGCGCAAUGGGCGGAAGCCUGAUGCAGCAACGCCGCGUGCGGGAUGACGGCCUUCGGGUUGUAAACCGCUCUCGCCUGGGACGAAGCGUGAGUGACGGUAAUGGGUAAAGAAGCACCGGCUAACUACGUG
rnacentral:rRNA from 1 species